GAUGAACGCUGGCGGCGUGCCUAAUACAUGCCAGUCGAGCGAACAGACGAGGAGCUUGCUCCUCUGACGUUAGCGGCGGACGGGUGAGUAACACGUGGAUAACCUACCUAUAAGACUGGGAUAACUUCGGGAAACCGGAGGUAAUACCGGAUAAUAUAUUGAACCGCAUGGUUCAAUAGUGAAAGACGGUUUUGCUGUCACUUAUAGAUGGAUCCGCGCCGCAUUAGCUAGUUGGUAAGGUAACGGCUUACCAAGGCGACGAUGCGUAGCCGACCUGAGAGGGUGAUCGGCCACACUGGAACUGAGACACGGUCCAGACUCCUACGGGAGGCAGCAGUAGGGAAUCUUCCGCAAUGGGCGAAAGCCUGACGGAGCAACGCCGCGUGAGUGAUGAAGGUCUUCGGAUCGUAAAACUCUGUUAUUAGGGAAGAACAAAUGUGUAAGUAACUAUGCACGUCUUGACGGUACCUAAUCAGAAAGCCACGGCUAACUACGUG
rnacentral:rRNA from 1 species